AAAAAAGAUGGAUCCGAUGGAUCUAAUGGAUAAGUAUUUAGCUAUAGCUAAAUACUUAUCCAUUGGAUCCAUCGGAUCCAUCUUUUUAUUUUUUA
rnacentral:miRNA from 1 species